rnacentral:rRNA from 1 species
GACGAACCGUACGAACGUUAUUCGGAAUGACUGGGCGUAAAGGGCGCGUAGGCGGCUUGCACAGUCAGGCGUGAAAUUCCUGGGCUCAACCUGGGGACUGCGCUUGAGACGUGUGGGCUUGAGUGGGGAAGAGGGUCGUGGAAUUCCCAGUGUAGAGGUGAAAUUCGUAGAUAUUGGGAAGAGCACCGGUGGCGAAGGCGGCGACCUGGUCCUUGACUGACGCUGAGGCGCGAAAGCGUGGGGAGCAAACAGG